UACGUAGGUGACAAGCGUUGUCCGGAUUUACUGGGCGUAAAGAGCGCGCAGGCGGUCGAUCAAGUCGAGUGUGAAAGCCCCCGGCUCAACUGGGGAGGGUCAUUCGAUACUGAUCGACUCGAAGGCAGGAGAGGGUAGUGGAAUUCCCGGUGUAGUGGUGAAAUGCGUAGAUAUCGGGAGGAACACCAGUGGCGAAGGCGGCAUCCUGGACCAUAACUGACGCUGAGGCGCGAAAGCUAGGGGAGCAAACGGGG
rnacentral:rRNA from 1 species